AGAGAAAAAUAUUGAAAACCUAUUAGAAGAAAUAAUGACAGAAAACUUUCCCUACCUGAUGAAAGAAAUUGAUUUACAAACUUACAAAUUCAGGAAGCACAGAGAGUCCUAAACAAGAUUAACCCAAAGAAGCCCACAUCAACACACAGCAUAGUUAAAAUGCCAAAGGUUAAAGACAAAAGAGAGAAUCUUAAAAGCAGCAAAA